rnacentral:rRNA from 1 species
GAUGAACGCUGGCGGCGUGCCUAAUACAUGCAAGUCGAGCGAACGGACGAGAAGCUUGCUUCUCUGAUGUUAGCGGCGGACGGGUGAGUAACACGUGGAUAACCUACCUAUAAGACUGGGAUAACUUCGGGAAACCGGAGCUAAUACCGGAUGAUAUUUUGAACCGCAUGGUUCAAUAGUGAAAGACGGUCUUGCUGUCACUUAUAGAUGGAUCCGCGCUGCAUUAGCUAGUUGGUAAGGUAAUGGCUUACCAAGGCAACGAUGCAUAGCCGACCUGAGAGGGUGAUCGGCCACACUGGAACUGAGACACGGUCCAGACUCCUACGGGAGGCAGCAGUAGGGAAUCUUCCGCAAUGGGCGAAAGCCUGACGGAGCAACGCCGCGUGAGUGAUGAAGGUCUUCGGAUCGUAAAACUCUGUUAUUAGGGAAGAACAUAUGUGUAAGUAACUGUGCACAUCUUGACGGUACCUAAUCAGAAAGCCACGGCUAACUACGUG